GAUAAACGCUGGCGGCGUGCUUAACACAUGCAAGUCGAACGAAGUUUUUCUUUCGGGAGGACCUUAGUGGCGGACGGGUGAGUAACGCGUGGGUAACCUGCCCUGUACAGGGGGACAACAGCUGGAAACGGCUGCUAAUACCGCAUAGGCCCUUAGCACUGCAUGGUGCAUAGGGAAAAGGAGCAAUCCGGUACAGGAUGGACCCGCGUCUGAUUAGCCAGUUGGCAGGGUAACGGCCUACCAAAGCGACGAUCAGUAGCCGAUCUGAGAGGAUGUACGGCCACAUUGGGACUGAGACACGGCCCAGACUCCUACGGGAGGCAGCAGUGGGGAAUAUUGCACAAUGGAGGAAACUCUGAUGCAGCGACGCCGCGUGAGUGAAGAAGUAUUUCGGUAUGUAAAGCUCUAUCAGCAGGAAAGAAAAUGACGGUACCUGACGAAGAAGCACCGGCUAAAUACGUG
rnacentral:rRNA from 1 species